rnacentral:rRNA from 1 species
GAUGAACGCUGGCGGCGUGCCUAAUACAUGCAAGUCGAGCGAACGGACGAGAAGCUUGCUUUUCUGAUGUUAGCGGCGGACGGGUGAGUACCACGUGGAUAACCUACCUAUAAGACUGGGAUAACUUCGGGAAACCGGAGCUAAUACCGGAUAAUAUUUUGAACCGCAUGGUUCAUAAGUGAAAGACGGUCUUGCUGUCACUUAUAGAUGGAUCCGCGCUGCAUUAGCUAGUUGGUAAGGUAACGGCUUACCAAGGCAACGAUGCAUAGCCGACCUGAGAGGGUGAUCGGCCACACUGGAACUGAGACACGGUCCAGACUCCUACGGGAGGCAGCAGUAGGGAAUCUUCCGCAAUGGGCGAAAGCCUGACGGAGCAACGCCGCGUGAGUGAUGAAGGUCUUCGGAUCGUAAAACUCUGUUAUUAGGGAAGAACAUAUGUGUAAGUAACUGUGCACAUCUUGACGGUACCUAAUCAGAAAGCCACGGCUAACUACGUG